rnacentral:rRNA from 1 species
GAUGAACGCUGGCGGCGUGCCUAAUACAUGCAAGUCGAGCGAACAGACGAGGAGCUUGCUCCUCUGACGUUAGCGGCGGACGGGUGAGUAACACGUGGGUAACCUACCUAUAAGACUGGGAUAACUUCGGGAAACCGGAGCUAAUACCGGAUAAUAUAUUGAACCGCAUGGUUCAAUAGUGAAAGACGGUUUUGCUGUCACUUAUAGAUGGAUCCGCGCCGCAUUAGCUAGUUGGUAAGGUAACGGCUUACCAAGGCGACGAUGCGUAGCCGACCUGAGAGGGUGAUCGGCCACACUGGAACUGAGGCACGGUCCAGACUCCUACGGGAGGCAGCAGUAGGGAAUCUUCCGCAAUGGGCGAAAGCCUGACGGAGCAACGCCGCGUGAGUGAUGAAGGUCUUCGGAUCGUAAAACUCUGUUAUUAGGGAAGAACAAAUGUGUAAGUAACUAUGUACGUCUUGACGGUACCUAAUCAGAAAGCUACGGCUAACUACGUGCCAGCCGCCGCAGUAA